GUGGGAAACCUGGUACUAAACCAUUUGUAGGUGACCUGCUUCUGGUCGGGGUUUCAUAUGUAGCAGAGCAGCUCCCUCACUGCUAUCUAUUGAAAGUCAGCCGUUGACACAAGGGUUUGU
rnacentral:rRNA from 1 species